rnacentral:tRNA from 1 species
GGCAGUGUAGUGUAAUGGACAGGAAACCGGGCUUGAAACCCAGGUUGCAGGUUCGAUUGCCUGCCCCCUGUUG